UACGUAGGGUGCGAGCGUUAAUCGGACUUACUGGGCGUAAAGCGUGCGCAGGCGGCCCGUUAAGACAGGUGUGAAAUCCCUGGGCUCAACCUAGGAAUUGCGCUUGUGACUGGCGGGCUCGAGUACGGUAGAGGGGGGUGGAAUUCCUGGUGUAGCAGUGAAAUGCGUAGAGAUCAGGAGGAACACCGAUGGCGAAGGCAGCCCCCUGGGCCUGUACUGACGCUCAUGCACGAAAGCGUGGGGAGCAAACAGG
rnacentral:rRNA from 1 species